GGGCAAUCUGCCCUUCACUCUGGGACAAGCCCUGGAAACGGGGUCUAAUACCGGAUACAACACUCUCGGGCAUCCGAUGAGUGUGGAAAGCUCCGGCGGUGAAGGAUGAGCCCGCGGCCUAUCAGCUUGUUGGUGAGGUAAUGGCUCACCAAGGCGACGACGGGUAGCCGGCCUGAGAGGGCGACCGGCCACACUGGGACUGAGACACGGCCCAGACUCCUACGGGAGGCAGCAGUGGGGAAUAUUGCACAAUGGGCGAAAGCCUGAUGCAGCGACGCCGCGUGAGGGAUGACGGCCUUCGGGUUGUAAACCUCUUUCAGCAGGGAAGAAGCGAAAGUGACGGUACCUGCAGAAGAAGCGCCGGCUAACUACGUGCCAGCAGCCGCGGUAAUACGUAGGGCGCGAGCGUUGUCCGGAAUUAUUGGGCGUAAAGAGCUCGUAGGCGGUCUGUCGCGUCGGAUGUGAAAGCCCGGGGCUUAACCCCGGGUCUGCAUUCGAUACGGGCAGACUAGAGUGUGGUAG
rnacentral:rRNA from 1 species